UACGCGCAGAACCUUAUCCCAGGCUUGACAUGCACGGAUUAGCCGGCGGAAACGUCGGUGAGGCCGCAAGGUACAACGUGCACAGGUGCUGCAUGGCUGUCGUCAGCUCGUGCCGUGAGGUGUUGGGUUAAGUCCCCUAACGAGCGCAACCCCUGUGUCUAGUUGCCAGCGGGUCAUGCCGGGAACUCUAGACAGACCGCCGGCGUUAAGCCGGAGGAAGGCGGGGAUGACGUCAAGUCCUCAUGGCCCUUAUGCCUGGGGCUGCACACGUACUACAAUGGGGCGGACAGAGCGAAGCCAAGUCGCAAGGCCCAGCCAAUCGCAGAAACCGGCCCUCAGUUCGGAUUGCGGGCUGCAACCCGCCCGCAUGAAGCUGGAAUCGCUAGUAAUCGCGGAUCAGCAUGCCGCGGUGAAUGGGUUCCUGAGCCUUGUACACACCGCCCGUCAAGCCACCAAAGCGGGGGGCAUCCGAAGUCGCCGGAGUCGCAAGGCAGGCGCCGAAGGUGAAACCCGUGAUGGGGACUAAGUCGUAACAAGGUAACC
rnacentral:rRNA from 1 species